AGUGAACGCUGGCGGCAGGCUUAACACAUGCAAGUCGAGCGGAAACGAUGGUAGCUUGCUACCAGGCGUCGAGCGGCGGACGGGUGAGUAACGCGUGGGAAUUUGCCUAGUAGUGGGGGAUAGCCCAGAGAAAUUUGGAUUAAUACCGCAUAAUCUCUACGGAGUAAAGGUGGCCUCCCCUUGGAAGCUACCGCUAUUAGAUAAGCCCGCGUCAGAUUAGCUUGUUGGUGAGGUAAUGGCUCACCAAGGCAACGAUCUGUAGCUGGUCUGAGAGGAUGACCAGUCACACUGGAACUGAGACACGGUCCAG
rnacentral:rRNA from 1 species